CAGCCGCCGCGGUAAUACGUAGGUGGCAAGCGUUGUCCGGAAUUAUUGGGCGUAAAGGGCUCGCAGGCGGUUUCUUAAGUCUGAUGUGAAAGCCCCCGGCUCAACCGGGGAGGGUCAUUGGAAACUGGGAAACUUGGGUGCAGAAGAGGAGAGUGGAAUUCCACGUGUAGCGGUGAAAUGCGUAGAGAUGUGGAGGAACACCAGUGGCGAAGGCGACUCUCUGGUCUGUAACUGACGCUGAGGAGCGAAAGCGUGGGGAGCGAACAGGAUUAGAUACCCCCGUAGUCCCUGUCUCUUAUAA
rnacentral:rRNA from 1 species